rnacentral:lncRNA from 10 species
AAACAAAGGCAAUUCGUUCUGUAAAAAUACUCUAGAUUCUUUCUGAGGACUGGGCACUACACUGCUCAUAGUGGGCACCUAAAGUCAGCAUUCAGCCAACUCAGCGGGCUUUAAGAUGGAGACUCUUAAACCUCCUGCAUCAAAAAGACAUAAGGGAAUGUCCCUGAGAAGAGCCUGUGUCUCCUUUGAAGAGAGAGAGAGAGAUUGAUUCUGCCUCCUUGCAAUUCGAACCGGCAUUUUCCAGAACACUCCAAUUUGAAUCACAGUGGAGGGUCAUGGGAGGGAUUUGGCACAGGGGAGUCUUGGGUCUUUGGUUUUCCACAUUGAUCAAUGGGAUUGAUUUUUUCUGUUUUUGUUUUUGUUUUAAAAGAAGAGAAUUAGUUCCUUUUUCUGUCUCCAGGAUUGAAAACAUGAAGGCAAAGAAGAGAAACUCACAAUAUGUCAUUAACUUUGGGUUAUCAAUAUUAGUGGAAAGAAUCAAUGGUGCAAAGAAUCCUAAAGGACUAGAUAAUCCGCAUAUUCGACUUCCUGAUUAUGUGUUACUGACACUAACAUUUCAGAGUGUGGAGACCCUGCCCCAUCUGGGGAGAGGGAGAGACAAAGACCCCCUGCUUCUGGUACUUGAUUCACACAUAAUGCCCUCCAUUUACUGCUUUCAAGAAAUAACCUGUUUCUAAUCUUAAAUUUCAAUCUACUGAUCACAAAAUCAUAGAGAUCUUAGCCUUGAAAGAGACUUCAUGAGACCAUGUGACCAACUUUCUGACGCAGGAUUAGAACAUCCGACAUUAAAAUGUCUCAGUGCAGCAGAAUUUCCCAGCGACUUCGGUGGCGGGAGAGCAGCACCUCUCAGGCACAGCUGUGCGCAUCCCUCGGGCCCCACCGACCGCACCAUCUGACCGCGGGAAACGAAAUCUGAGCUCAGGAAUUUGAACUGCCCCACGCACGUUCGUUCCCGGAUAAAUCUCCUAGAGGACCGUGAUUUUUCCACUUAGAGAUUAUUUAGGGAGAUGUCCUGGAUGGGACAAGUAGACAAAUGGCGGCCCGAGGAAAAUGCAGGAAACUCUACAUUGUAGACGCUUAAGCACCAACUGUCUGGGCCCCGGGGCAGGGAACGGGAGACAUUAUCCACCGGAAACAUCACACCCCCGGGGCUCCUGGCAUUUUCUACAUCAGUGAAUGUGCCAGCGAAGAAGAGUGUGGGGAAAUUUUCUGAACAUAGAAUUCAUAUUCCUGAAACGUUAAGUCGUGAAGUGGGUGCUUCAGCUGUCCCCCAGCUUUAGGAUUUUAACCCAGCUUUGGUUUUGAUCACCGAGAGUUAUUCCUUAUAAUCAAAUCAGCAAAAGCGUUCAAUUACCUAUUACUGGUUGAGAAAGAUUCCGUUCCCCCAGCUCAUUGUAUCGGUUCUUGGACCCAAGAUGUUAAUUAUCGGCCAGGCAUUCACAGGGGGUUAAUAUGGCCCCCCUCGACACCUUGCCUCGUACCAGAGACACCAAAAGCUGCCGCUGAGGGAUAAUAGAGAAUGGGAAAAGCUGGUCAUGAAAAACCUCUUUUAUUCUUACUUGCAAGCUACCCUUUUGACAUUCUUUUUUUAACACUAAAUGGAGAUUACUGAAUUGAUAACUUUUGGGUUUUCUCUGUCACACUGGGGUUUUUUUCCCCCCGUUUGUUUGUAAGGUUUUUUUGGUUUUGGUUUUGGUUUUGGGGGGAGGGGAAGGGGGAAGUGGAUAGGGAGAUGGAAGAGUGUUCUGUUACUGGUUUUAUCAAAUCCUGUUAGGUCUUGUUCUUCAGUGUAAUGUAGAAUGGAGAAGUUGCAUAAGUACAUGAUUGACAAACAAGGUCUCUUAGAAGAGAGUUAAGGAGUAGGAAAUAUAAUGUGUCCUGGAGAAAAAGAAAGAGAAAACCCUUAGUAUGACACACUGGCCUUUAAAUAGAGGACACAUGAAUAUGCAAAGGAGAGGCACGUGUGAAAUAAGGUGUGCCUUGCUGAGCCCUCCCGCCCCCACCCCCCAUGUAUCAAGAACUUUACUUACAUUAUCUCAUCUAAUUCUACCCACAACCCAAGAGGAAGGGCGAUACUUUUAAUUCGGGUUUUUACAGACAAGAAAUUUGUAUCUCAGAGGCCCAAAGUAAAUUGCCUGAGGGCAUAUAGCUACUUAGGACAGAAUUAGAAUUGAUUAAAGAGUCAAAAAUUCUUUGAGAAUUAAUGUUUUAAACUCUCGAUUAGUUACCAAGGGAAUCUGAGAAAUUAAUUAACUUUUGGGGGGAUCUUUAGAUUAGUGGGGAAAUUAUGUUAAGCCCAAAGAAAGACAAGCCCGUGAAUUUUCUUGUUAUCUAUGAAGUGGUUUGGUGAAAGGUGUGACAAUUUGAGAAAACUGAAAAGUGCUGAAAUUCCUUUAAUAAGGUUCUGUUUAAACUGAUAGAGCUACCAGAUAUAAUUAGGCAGAUAUCCAUUUUCUUCUGGAAGCUUCUAUUAUUUGAGAAGAAAACUGAAAAGCUUUAGACUGUUUCAAAUUAAGGACAAUUUGAAUUUUAGUUGGAAAGCGGAUAAACUAUCUGUAUGAUUGAGUUUAAAAGGCAUGGAAAGACUAUUACGAAGUAUUGAUCCCACUCAGUGAGAGCAAGCACAGCUUUCAAAUGAUACAGAUCUGGCUAUGAAUUUGAAUGGUGACUGUGCCUAGCUGUGUGACCAAGGGCAACUUUCUUAACCUCUCUGGGCCUCUGAGUCCUCGUCUUUAAAAUGAGACAAAUAAGCCCUUGCAAGACGCUUGUGAUGAUAAAAUAAAAGAGUAUGGGUGAAAGUCCUUAACAGAAUGCCUGAUAUGUAGCAGAUACUCAACAGAGUUAGCAAUGUUUCAUUUAAUUAAAGCAUUUGAGAGCAGGAUAGGGAGCACCACUAACUUCAGCUCUUCAACAAUUUUGCCUGGGGCUGGCUCUGGGGAAUAGACUUGGAUUCUCACGAGUAUGUGAAUCUUCAGUUACUUCCUUGAAAGGACAGACAGUUAUAAAAGCAAGCAGUGAAGUCUGGGAAGGUGGAGGAGAAUGGUUAUGGAAAGUUAUCCCCACAUCAUAAGUCUUCCUGAUCUUGAGAUCAAACAACAACACUUUCAGAAACAGCAAGAAAUUAAGGCUGAAGCAAAAUACCCCCUGUAUAAUUUUUAAGUCAGUUAAUAAUGAAGGUGUAAAUAAAACAGAAAUGUCUCUGUUCUUACUUAAAUCUUGAACAAAUAAGGGAUUUUUUUCUUUAGUGUUUUUUAAUAGUUUAAUCAUUUUUUAAGACACAAUUUUUGCCUAGUUACUGUUUACUAACUGCCCUGCCAAAAAUUAGUUAUUACUUCAGGACUUAUGUUUGAAUAGAACUGCGAAAUCCUGCUUUAAAAAGUACUAUGAAACAAUUCAUCAAAAUGUUUUCCUCUGAUAUUUUUUACCAGGUAAAGGCAAGAUUACUUCUGGAGAUUUUCUUUGAAAAUAAUGAUUUUUUUUUCCUGAUUAUGAAAGUAAUACACGUUCAUUAUGGACAAUUUAGUAUAAAAUGAGAGAACAAGCUAUAAAGGAGCAAACGAGAACACCCUUAUUCUCACCAGUAAGAGUUAACCACUUUUAAUAUUUUGAUGAUUUCUUUCAGUCUUUUUACCCUUUAUUUUUUUAGCCUUGGUACGAACCUAUGGAGUAUAAAAUUGUGCAUUCUUGUUUUUAUAUUUAUUUUCUCCCAUGUAACUAAAAAGGAUCUGUAACAUUUUUAGUGACUGUCUAAUUUUAUAUCAUACCAAUAUGAUAUAUUAGUAUCAUUUUUUAAGAAACAAUAGAGAAUUCUCUAUUGUUGAGUGUCUGUGAGUCCCAGUUUUUGCUAUUGUAAAUUAUGCUAAACAAAAAUCUGUGUGCAUAAAUCUCUGAGUUUAAGAUUAUUUCGUUAAGAUAGACUUCUAUAACAAGAAUUACUAGGUUCAUAUAAUACUUCUAAUGCUUUUGAAAUAUAUUGUCGUAUUGAUUUUAGCAGUUUUCAGUCCAAGCAGCAAUAGAUGAAGAGAGCUGUUCUCUCCUAAUGCCUCUAGUCAUAGUGACUGAUACCACAGC